CUACGGGACGCUGCAGUGAGGAAUAUUGCACAAUGGGGGGAACCCUGAUGCAGCAACGCCGCGUGGAGGAUGACGCAUUUCGGUGUGUAAACUCCUUUUAUAUGUCAAGAAAAUGACGGUAGCAUAUGAAUAAGCACCGGCUAACUCCGUGCCAGCAGCCGCGGUAUACGGGAGGGUGCAAGCGUUACUCGGAAUCACUGGGCGUAAAGGACGCGUAGGCGGGUUGGAAAGUCAGGUGUGAAAUCCUACAGCUUAACUGUAGAACUGCACUUGAAACUUCUAAUCUAGAGUAUGGGAGGGGGAGAUGGAAUUAGUGGUGUAGGGGUAAAAUCCGUAGAUAUCACUAGGAAUACCUAAAGCGAAGGCGAUCUCCUGGAACAUUACUGACGCUAAGGCGUGAAAGCGUGGGGAGCAAACAGGAUUAGAUACCCGUGUAGUC
rnacentral:rRNA from 1 species